CUAGUGAACUUAAUUAUAGUUGAACUUAAAGCUAAUGUGAUUAGUCACUACUAGGUUUAUCUUAUAUCUACACACUAAAUUAGGUAACCUAAACCUAUCAUUGAACACCAUACACUCUACUCCGUGAAACCCGUAGCCACUGGUAUCGGGCUUACAACUAAACACUUCGACGGCAUCACGCUAGACAACACCCGAAAUUAUACUAAAAGGAAACUAAACGUAAG